AGAGUUUGAUCAUGGCUCAGGACGAACGCUGGCGGCGUGCUUAACACAUGCAAGUCGAACGAUGAAAGAGAAUCCGAUCUCUUCGGAGUGAAGAAUCUCUGGAUUAGUGGCGGACGGGUGAGUAACGCGUGAGCAAUCUGCCUUACACAAAGGGAUAGCCUCGGGAAACCGGGAUUAAUACCAUAUGAUAUCUAUUAACCGCAUGGUUUAUAGAUUAAAGAAUUUCGGUGUAAGAUGAGCUCGCGUCCCAUUAAUUAGUUGGUGAGGGUAACGGCCCACCAAGAUAGCGAUGGGUAGCCGAUCUAAGAGGAUGACCGGCCACAUUGGAACUGAGAAACGGUCCAAACUCCUACGGGAGGCAGCAGUGGGGAAUAUUGCACAAUGGGGGAAACCCUGAUGCAGCGACGCCGCGUGAGCGAUGAAGGCUUUCGAGUCGUAAAGCUCUGUCCUAUGGGAAGAUAAUGACGGUACCAUAGAAGAAAGCCCCGGCUAAUUACGUGCCAGCAGCCGCGGUAAUACGUAAGGGGCGAGCGUUGUCCGGAAUUAUUGGGCGUAA
rnacentral:rRNA from 1 species